CCUACGGGCGGCAGCAGUGAGGAAUAUUGGUCAAUGGACGAGAGUCUGAACCAACCAAGUAGCGUGAAGGAUGACUGCCCUAUGGGUUGUAAACUUCUUUUAUAUGGGAAUAAAAUGUUCCACGUGUGGCAUUUUGUAUGUACCAUAUGAAUAAGGAUCGGCUAACUCCGUGCCAGCAGCCGCGGUAAUACGGAGGAUCCGAGCGUUAUCCGGAUUUUUUGGGUUUAAAGGGAGCGUAGGGGGGUUGUUAAAUCAGUUGUGAAAGUUUGCGGCUCAACCGUAAAAUUGCAGUUGAAACGGGCAGUCGUGAGUACAGUAGAGGUGGGCGGAAUGCGUGGUGUAGCGGUGAAAUGCUUAGAUAUCACGAAGAACUCCGAUUGCGAAGGCAGUUCACUGGACUGCAACUGACACUGAGGCUCGAAAGUGUGGGUAUCAAACAGGAUUAGAUACCCCUGUAGUC
rnacentral:rRNA from 1 species